GGCCAGGAACCUUUAAAAGUAAUAUUUUUUUAAACCUUAUCCUGCUGUGCUAACUGUGCAUUUUAACAUAAUUUUGAACCAUCAUGAUAUGGGAGACUCUGAAUUAUGUAACUAGAAAGACGGCA